CGCAGGAACCCCAGCCCAGGGCCUCCCUGCACCCCACCCCCAAGUCUCAAUUGCACACACACUCCCACCAAACUGGGCACCCCCUUUCUCCUCACUGAGGCAGAAGUGCAAGGAGAAAAGGGGCUGGGCUCUGGGCUUGGUGCCCUCGGCUGAUGACCAGCGUGUGUCGGGACACCAGGACGGCACUGCCCCUCAGAUUCCUCCCAGGACCCCUCUGACGCAGGUGCUCCCAAUGGCCUUGCUGAGCCUUCCCAGACUGUGGCAGUUGGCACUUCCUCUCGGCCCUCCUUCCCACUUUCCUUCCCUCUGGACCGGAUCUGCUCAGCUGACAGCCCCUGCAGGCAUCCCCAUUUCCUCUCCCAGUGUUGCUGCUGUGAUACUUGCGCAAGUGGAACGGAGGAGCUGGUAAGCUGGUUGAGGCGUUGUGUCGGAUGGAGGAACUUUCUUCAUUCCUCACCAACUCAGGCCCUUGCUACUCCAGAAGUGGAGGGACACCAACGAGGGGAAGCCGGCAGCACCUUGCAGCUACGUGCCCACCAGGGGCCAGGGCCACAAGUGUGCAAUCUCAGUUCACUUCAUAGAGAGUCCCCCAGGUAGGAAUUCUUGUCUCCAGUUUACAGAUGCGGAACUGGAGGCUCAGAGUGGCCACACAGCCAAUUCAUGGCCACUCAGGGAGGCAGACCCUGUACCAGGCUUAGGGGAGGUGGAGAGGGCCGGCGCCCCAGGACUCACCGUGUAGAUGGAUUCAGCCGGGGGCCUCUGAGGGCUGCUGGCAGGGCUGGGGUUCAGGCACUUCUGGGCGGGGUGUGUCCGUGGCACCUGCAUCUGCUUCUGCGAGGAAAGGAGUCAGGGUGGCUGGGGCUGGGACAGGCAGCUCCCCCAUCUCCCCCUGCCACCCCUGCACAGACACCCCCAGGGAAAGGAUGGCAGUGUCAUGGGGCCACACAGACACUGAUCACACAGCACCUUCCACUCCCCCGGGUAAACGGGGCAAAUGCCUCUGAGAUUUGUAUUAAGUCACUCACAGGUCUGGAGGUACCAGCAAUGAGAACGACCCCCAACAGGGCAUUGCCCAUAGACACAGUGCCUGGCACAGGAGAGGCAGGCACUGCAGGGCACAGUGAGACAGGGCCCCUGGCUAAGCAGCUGACUGCUGUGGGUGGUCCUGAGCGAGACCAGGUGUCCAGUCGUCUGCCCCUUGCUGGCUCAGUGGGCUCACACAGACCACUUGCCCUCUCUGGGCCUUGAUUUCUUCAGCAAGAACCCUCCUUUGGGAAACUGUUCCAAGGACUUAGGGAGGUGAUGGCACUCAGGUGGCACUUAGGGAGCCCUUGGCCCACCCACCUAGAUCUGUCAGGCACCUGUUGUUAGCCAGGUGGUGUGAAGAGGUGGACACCGUGCCUGCCUCCUUGGAGCUUAGGACCGGGAGAGGAGACAGACAACAAGCCAGCAGUUUCCCCAGGCGAGGUCCAUGUGCUGCCCACAGCAACAGAGCCUUUGGCACACUGGGAGGGAACCAACCCCGCCCGGCAGGAAGGGAUGCUUAAGGCCUGAAGGCAGAGAAGUUCAUUUGGCCAGAGAGGGGGUGUGCUGGAG